GAUGAAGAACGUAGCGAAAUGCGAUAAGUAAUGUGAAUUGCAGAAUUCAGUGAAUCAUCGAAUCUUUGAACGCACAUUGCGCCCCUUGGUAUUCCGAGGGGCAUGCCUGUUCGAGCGUCAUUAUAACCCCUCAAGCUUAGCUUGGUGUUGGGGCCUGCUGUAAUAGAGCAGCCCUUAAAAUCAGUGGCGGUGCCAUUAGGCUCUAAGCGUAGUAAUUCUUCUCGCUAUAGGGUUCUGGUGGAUGCUUGCCAUUAACCUCUAAUUUUCUAUGGUUGACCUCGGAUCAGGUAGGGAUACCCGCUGAACUUAAGCAUAUCAAUAACGGAGGA
rnacentral:misc_RNA from 1 species